CCUACGGGCGGCAGCAGUGAGGAAUAUUGGUCAAUGGACGCGAGUCUGAACCAGCCAAGCCGCGUGCAGGAGGACGGCUCUGUGAGUUGUAAACUGCUUUUGUACGGGAGUAAACGCAGGUACGCGUACCUGUCUGAAAGUAUCUUACGAAUAAGGAUCGGCUAACUCCGUGCCAGCAGCCGCGGUAAUACGGAGGAUUCAAGCGUUAUCCGGAUUUAUUGGGUUUAAAGGGUGCGUAGGCGGUCGGGUAAGUUAGGGGUGAAAUCCCGGGGCUCAACUUCGGAAUUGCCUCUGAUACUGGUAGGCUAGAGAGUAGGUGCGGUAGGCGGAAUGUGUGGUGUAGCGGUGAAAUGCUUAGAGAUCACACAGAACACCGAUUGCGAAGGCAGCUUACCAAGCUACCUCUGACGUUGAGGCACGAAAGCGUGGGGAGCAAACAGGAUUAGAUACCCCAGUAGUC
rnacentral:rRNA from 1 species